CCUACGGGGGGCAGCAGUGGGGAAUAUUGCACAAUGGGCGCAAGCCUGAUGCAGCCAUGCCGCGUGUGUGAAGAAGGCCUUCGGGUUGUAAAGCACUUUCAGCGGGGAGGCAGGCGUUAAGGUUAAUAACCUUGGCGAUUGACGUUACCCGCAGAAGAAGCACCGGCUAACUCCGUGCCAGCAGCCGCGGUAAUACGGAGGGUGCAAGCGUUAAUCGGAAUUACUGGGCGUAAAGCGCACGCAGGCGGUCUGUCAAGUCGGAUGUGAAAUCCCCAGGCUCAACCUGGGAACUGCAUUCGAAACUGGCAGGCUAGAGUCUUGUAGAGGGGGGUAGAAUUCCAGGUGUAGCGGUGAAAUGCGUAGAGAUCUGGAGGAAUACCGGUGGCGAAGGCGGCCCCCUGGACAAAGACUGACGCUCAGGUGCGAAAGCGUGGGGAGCAAACAGGAUUAGAUACCCGAGUAGUC
rnacentral:rRNA from 1 species